rnacentral:lncRNA from 1 species
UUCAUAAUAAUCCCUUGGUUACAUAUGGCAGCCUUUAUAUAGGCUUCAAACUAAGCUAUUGGAAAGGACACCAUCCCCUUUCCAAGGCAAUAAGUAAAAAACGUUUUCCAAGUCACAACUUCCAAGUUACAACUUCAAAAUAAUAAAUGACACAACUUUCAAGGUUCCUAACUACGAAGUACAUGAAUAACUUAGGAAAAACGAGUUGACAAGUCAAAACUUCAUGUACAAGUAAUUAGGAACACAACAAGACUCAAGCCCAAAAGUACCCACGAAAAAUGGGCCUAAAUAGCAUCUCCACGUGGAUCAGCCUUGUUUAAUGGCUCCAAGCUUUGUUCUUCAGCAUUUACUAUGUAAAGAUAAGUGAUCAAUCUUGGUGAAGCCUUAGAGUCUUCUAAAGCAGCCUCCUUCUCUUGAAUUUCCAUGACUAGUCCAUAUAAAGCUUCUUUCAUUUGUUUUGCCCUUGCUCUAGUCAUUGGACCUCCAAUUCCUUGUAAUGGAUCUUUGGAAUUAGCUUGAACCAUUCGGCCAGCCCCUUGAUCUCUAUCAAUAGGGUUAUAAUCAAUCACUCCACAAUCUCCCCCGUUUUGAUGAUGACAAAACAUUGAGUAUUUGUAAAGUGAAUU